UACAGAGACUGCGAGCGUUAUUCGGAUUCACUGGGCGUAAAGGGUGCGCAGGCGGCCGAGUGUGUGAGGCGUGAAAGCCCGGGGCUUAACCCCGGAAUUGCACCUCAAACUACACGGCUAGAGCAUUGGAGAGGGUAGCAGAAUUCAUGGUGUAGCAGUGAAAUGCGUAGAUAUCAUGAGGAAUACCAGAGGCGAAGGCGGCUACCUGGACAAUUGCUGACGCUCAGGCGCGAAAGCGUGGGGAGCGAACAGG
rnacentral:rRNA from 1 species